rnacentral:rRNA from 1 species
UUGAACGCUGGCGGCAUGCCUUACACAUGCAAGUCGAACGGCAGCACGGACUUCGGUCUGGUGGCGAGUGGCGAACGGGUGAGUAAUAUAUCGGAACAUACCCUGGAGUGGGGGAUAACGUAGCGAAAGUUACGCUAAUACCGCAUACGCACUAAGGUGGAAAGCGGGGGAUCGCAAGACCUCGUGCUCCUGGGGUGGCCGAUAUCUGAUUAGCUAGUUGGUAGAGUAAAAGCCUACCAAGGCGACGAUCAGUAGCUGGUUUGAGAGAACGACCAGCCAGACUGGAACUGAGACACGGUCCAGACUCCUACGGGAGGCAGCAGUGGGGAAUUUUGGACAAUGGGCGCAAGCCUGAUCCAGCAAUGCCGCGUGAGUGAAGAAGGCCCUCGGGUUGUAAAGCUCUUUUGUCAGGGAAGAAACGGUGAUCGCUAAUAUCGGUUGCUAAUGACGGUACCUGAAGAAUAAGCACCGGCUAACUACGU